AAAUUGAAGAGUUUGAUCAUGGCUCAGAUUGAACGCUGGCGGCAGGCCUAACACAUGCAAGUCGAGCGGAAACGAGUUAUCAGAACCUUCGGGGGACGAUAACGGCGUCGAGCGGCGGACGGGUGAGUAAUGCCUAGGAAAUUGCCCUGAUGUGGGGGAUAACCAUUGGAAACGAUGGCUAAUACCGCAUGAUGCCUACGGGCCAA
rnacentral:rRNA from 1 species